rnacentral:rRNA from 1 species
AGAGUUUGAUCCUGGCUCAGAUUGAACGCUGGCGGCAGGCUUAACACAUGCAAGUCGAGCGGAGAUGAGGUGCUUGCACCUUAUCUUAGCGGCGGACGGGUGAGUAAUGCUUAGGAAUCUGCCUAUUAGUGGGGGACAACAUUCCGAAAGGAAUGCUAAUACCGCAUACGUCCUACGGGAGGAAGCAGGGGAUCUUCGGACCUUGCGCUAAUAGAUGAGCCUAAGUCGGAUUAGCUAGUUGGUGGGGUAAAGGCCUACCAAGGCGACGAUCUGUAGCGGGUCUGAGAGGAUGAUCCGCCACACUGGGACUGAGACACGGCCCAGACUCCUACGGGAGGCAGCAGUGGGGAAUAUUGGACAAUGGGGGGAACCCUGAUCCAGCCAUGCCGCGUGUGUGAAGAAGGCCUUAUGGUUGUAAAGCACUUUAAGCGAGGAGGAGGCUACUGAGACUAAUACUCUUGGAUAGUGGACGUUACUCGCAGAUAGCCGCCCCGGUGAAA